rnacentral:rRNA from 1 species
AGGCGGUUGUGUAAGACAGGUGUGAAAUCCCCGGGCUUAACCUGGGAAUGGCAUUUGAGACUACACGGCUAGAGUGUGUCAGAGGGGGGUAGAAUUCCACGUGUAGCAGUGAAAAUGCGUAGAGAUGUGGAGGAAUACCGAUGGCGAAGGCAGGCCCCCUGGGAUAAACACUGACGCUCAUGCACGAAAGCGUGGGGAGCAAACAGGAUUAGAUACCCUGGUAGUCCACGCCCUAAACGAUGUCUACUAGUUGUCGGGUCUUAAUUGACUUGGUAACGCAGCUAACGCGUGAAGUAGACCGCCUGGGGAGUACGGUCGCAAGAUUAAAACUCAAAGGAAUUGACGGGGACCCGCACAAGCGGUGGAUGAUGUGGAUUAAUUCGAUGCAACGCGAAAAACCUUACCUACCCUUGACAUGGCUGGAAUCCUUCAGAGAUGAGGGAGUGCUCGAAAGAGAACCAGUACACAGGUGCUGCAUGGCUGUCGUCAGCUCGUG